CCCUAGUAACUGCGAGUGAAGCGGGAAGAGCUCAAAUUUAAAAUCUGGCAGUCUUCUGGCUGUCCGAGUUGUAAUCUGGAGAAGCGUUUUCUGUGUUAGACCGUGUACAAGUCUCCUGGAACGGAGCCUCAUAGAGGGUGAGAAUCCCGUCCAUGACACGGACUACUAAUACUUUGUGAUACGCUCUCGAAGAGUCGAGUUGUUUGGGAAUGCAGCUCAAAAUGGGUGGUAAAUUCCAUCUAAAGCUAAAUACAGGCGAGAGACCGAUAGCGAACAAGUACCGUGAGGGAAAGAUGAAAAGCACUUUGGAAAGAGAGUUAAACAGUACGUGAAAUUGUUGAAAGGGAAACGCUUGAAGUCAGUCGCGUUGUGCAGAACUCAGCCUUGCCUCGGCUUGGUGUACUUUCUGCACAACGGGUCAACAUCAAUUUUGGCCCAUGGAGAAAGGUGGGGGGAAUGUAGCGCUGUUUCGGCAGCGUGUUAUAGCCCUCUAUUGUAUACAUGGGCUGGGAUUGAGGAUCGCAGCACGCCCUUGUGGCCGGGGGUUCGCCCUACGUACCGUGCUUAGGAUGUUGGCAGAAUGGCUUUAAGCGACCCGUCUUGAAACACGGACCAAGGAGUCUAACAUGCUUGCGAGUGUUCGGGUGGAAAACCCUUGUGCGUAAUGAAAGUGAAAGUUGGGAACCUCCGCAAGGGGGUGCACCGACGCCCGGCCCUGACGUUCUCUGACGGUGCUGCGGUAGAGCAAGUAUGCUAGGACCCGAAAGAUGGUGAACUAUGCCUGAAUAGGGCGAAGCCAGAGGAAACUCUGGUGGAGGCUCGUAGCGAUUCUGACGUGCAAAUCGAUCGUCAAAUUUGGG
rnacentral:rRNA from 1 species